UACGUAGGGAGCAAGCGUUGUCCGGAUUCACUGGGUGUAAAGGGUGCGCAGGCGGGAAAGUAAGUCAGAGGUGAAAUCUCACAGCUUAACUGUGAAACUGCCUUUGAUACUGCUUUUCUUGAGUUCGGGAGAGGUUGAUGGAAUUCCAGGUGUAGCGGUGAAAUGCGUAGAUAUCUGGAAGAACACCAGUGGCGAAGGCGGUCAACUGGCCCGUAACUGACGCUCAGGCACGAAAGCGUGGGUAGUGAACAGG
rnacentral:rRNA from 1 species